UGGAGUGUAUUGGGUUCUCUGGUAAGGUCACCAACGGAAUCGAGUUGGUUCGUUCCAAGCCCAUAUUGAUGGACACCUGUCGAAUCACGGGCCGUUUUCUUGGGAGCUCUGUGGAGUCCUCUGGUUGGUUCCAUCUCCUCCACCACUAUCUCCAGAUCCGGAGCACUCUUCUCCACCCUUUCUUGGGAUCCCUCGCGAGAUUGCAGUUGCGAAAGCAGGUGUGCUGAUCGGCCGGCGGCGGUUUGUCAACUCGGUUCGUGGGUACAUGUGGUUUCUCCGAUGAUGGGAGGGGCGAUCGACUACUUCUAUGUGCUCGAGCGACUUGGUUCUGUGGCGGAGAUUUGUGAAUUCCAUGGUCUUGUGCGUGUUCUCUGUUUGGUGAAGAACGUUGAAUGAAUCAUGCAGGUCACCUGUUUGAUGAUAUCUUGCAGAGACGUCUCUCCUCGGUGGUGAGCUGUUAUGCGAUCCUAGCUGAAGGCUAAGGAGAUGAUACUUGUUCUCUGCUAAAGAAGCCACCCGGUUGUUCUGGAAUUCGUGAUGAAGGAGCUAGAUGGGUAUCUUGCGAUAUAUUUAAGGGAGCAGACCCUCAACCAUUCAUUGUUCCAGUACUUCUAUAGAUUGAACUGUCGCAUGUUGGUAUGAUUUGGCCUCAGCAACGGAGAUACAAAGGAUUGGAAGUAGUAAUCUUGGUUCGUUGCAUCUGAAAUGGGUGUUGAUCCGAAGUUGGUGUAGGAGCUCUGCAAAUCAUCUAGUUUCAAGUCCAUAAACCACUCACUGUCUUCUUUCUGACUCUUCUCGAUCAUCUGAUGUCCAGCUGUUUUGCAGGUGCUUAAUGCUUGCACUCCAGUAGAAGCUUGGGAUAGAUAGCCUAGAUCAUCAAAAUCUGGCAACACGACCUCAUUUUCUACAUCUGAUUCUGGUGUCCUGAAGCUGUCGGACAGUGCAUCAUCCACUGAUUGCAUGGUCUCUCCAAAGGAUGUCUCCUCCUGUUUCUGCAUCUUCGUCUUCUCCCAGUACCUGGAAGUUCCCAAGGCUCGUACUUGUAGAGAUCGAUCUCGGCGAUGAUGGGCACAGGCAGGCACUGGCAGGCGGUCUUGCGGCAGAGAUAGUGCACAACGAGCUCCUCGUCUGUGGGGUGGAACCGGAACCCCGGCGGCAAAUUGAGCUCCGCUUCGGCGUCUCUUGUCCUCCCCAUGGUCGUCUUCUCCGCUGGACUAACUAAUGGUAAGUGUG